CUCAGACUCAGACUGCCCUAGGAGAAGAGCCAUGCAGAUGGAGAGCUGGAGAACAAGACUGUAUCCCUUCUAACAUGGGAUGAAAAGGGAAGCCUGAAUAUGAUUAUUCAGGCAGAACUUGGUCACUCAAUUCCCAGUGAGCCACUCAGCUAACUCCUAGGAAACUCUGGCUUCUUUCAACAUAACAAGUCAAAUGGAGAACUGGAAAAGAGGUUAGUGUUUGGGAGGAAAUGAUUAUUUAAACUUGAGUGAACAGUCUUCUUCUUAUGCAUGUCCCCAAAGAGAAAGGCUAUGUCAGACUUGGUUUGUCACUAUUAAUGUGAAAUUACCCAAAGUGGGUAGAGAUUCACACCGGUUUCUGCAAUGACCAGCUCACCCCAGGAUGCCUUUGAAUUAAAUAGCAAUCCUUAGUACAGCCACACAUGGUGAACCAUUUCUGCGAAUAUGGCACAAACCACAGAAAUUUCAUGCAGAAAUUAAAAUUUCAACCCCUUUUCUCUGAUGGGGAGUAAAAGGCACUUAGACUUUCUGGCCUCCUCUUUAUGACAAAA
ensembl:lncRNA